ensembl:snRNA U6atac minor spliceosomal RNA
ACACUGGAUGAAGUUAGAGAAGAUGGCACACUCCCCUUGAGAAGGAUGGAAGAGGUGCCGGUGACCCUGACAACGGGCUCAUGGUUGAAGGCACCGCCACCUCAUGGCACACAACCAAAUAUGACC